AUUGAACGCUGGCGGCAGGCCUAACACAUGCAAGUCGAGCGAGCGGCGGACGGGUGAGUAAUGUAUGGGUAACUGCCCGAUAGAGGGGGAUAACUACUGGAAACGGUAGCUAAUACCGCAUACUAUCGGAUGUACCCACAUGGGAUUAGCUAGUAGGUGAGGUAAUGGCUCACCUAGGCGACGAUCCCUAGCUGGUCUGAGAGGAUGAUCAGCCACACUGGAACUGAGACACGGUCCAGACUCCUACGGGAGGCAGCAGUGGGGAAUAUUGCACAAUGGGCGAAAGCCUGAUGCAGCCAUGCCGCGUGUAUGAAGAAGGCCUUCGGGUUGUAAAGUACUUUCAGCGGGGAGGCGUUACCCGCAGAAGAAGCACCGGCUAACUCCGUGCCAGCAGCCGCGGUAAUUC
rnacentral:rRNA from 1 species